GACGAACGCUGGCGGCGUGCUUAACACAUGCAAGUCGAACGGAAAGGCCCUGCUUUUGUGGGGUGCUCGAGUGGCGAACGGGUGAGUAACACGGGAUUAACCUGCCCUUGACUUUGGGAUAACUUCAGGAAACUGGGGCUAAUACCGGAUAGGAGCUCCUGCUGCAUGGUGGGGGUUGGAAAGUUUCGGCGGUUGGGGAUGGACUCGCGGCUUAUCAGCUUGUUGGUGGGGUAGUGGCUUACCAAGGCUUUGACGGGUAGCCGGCCUGAGAGGGUGACCGGCCACAUUGGGACUGAGAUACGGCCCAGACUCCUACGGGAGGCAGCAGUGGGGAAUAUUGCACAAUGGGCGGAAGCCUGAUGCAGCAACGCCGCGUGCGGGAUGACGGCCUUCGGGUUGUAAACCGCUUUCGCCUGUGACGAAGCGUGAGUGACGGUAAUGGGUAAAGAAGCACCGGCUAACUACGUG
rnacentral:rRNA from 1 species